rnacentral:rRNA from 1 species
CAGCAGCCGCGGUAAUACGUAGGGUGCAAGCGUUAAUCGGAAUUACUGGGCGUAAAGCGUGCGCAGGCGGUUCGCUAAGACAGAUGUGAAAUCCCCGGGCUUAACCUGGGAACUGCACUUGUGACUGGCGGGCUAGAGUAUGGCAGAGGGGGGUAGAAUUCCACGUGUAGCAGUGAAAUGCGUAGAGAUGUGGAGGAAUACCGAUGGCGAAGGCAGCCCCCUGGGCCAACACUGACGCUCAUGCACGAAAGCGUGGGGAGCAAACAGGAUUAGAUACCCGCGUAGUCCCUGUCUCUUAUAC